UGAUAUCAGUACUCCCACCUCAUUGCUUAUUUAUUUGACAGAAUUUGCUUUAACUAUUGUUCAGGUGCAGAGGCAUCUUCCUUCAGAAAAUGAAAUUAUUCUGAGAGUUUAAUACUGCUUAUACUGCUUAUUUGCCAAUGAGUUCUGAUUCAUUUUAUGCUGUUUUAAGGAAAACUCACCCCAAAUCAUGAACUUUGGAUGAGAUUUGUUGGGUUUUCAAAUUGAAAGCUGUUCCCUGGAGAAAACGCGGCAGUUUAUGACACGGAGCACCACUUCAGAAAUGUUUGGAAAUAAAUUGCAUAUCCAAUUGGAACUGACUGAUCCUGUGAGGAAAUUGAGUUUCACUGAAUGAGAAAGGUUGCAUUUCUUCCAUUUAGACGUGAGCUAAGAAAAAUGUUCCCCUGCUUAUUCUCCCAAGAUGACAACUGUGAUUAUGCUCCCCCUCUUGAUCAAUAGAACUUGCUUGCCUCUAAAGAGCUUCAAAACAAGAAGUUUGUCUGCAGGAUGGGGGUAAGAGAACUUCCAUGCUUUAAUGUCAUGCACAGGUCCAUGAAUGGCAGGAGAACUAUCUGGAACUUUUGUUGCUAAAAUUUGUGAAAAUAAAAUCAAGUCAAAGCUACA
rnacentral:lncRNA from 1 species